rnacentral:snRNA from 1 species
CUCCCAUCUUGGCCUCCCAGAGUGCUAGGAAUUAGUUUAAUAUCUUAUACUUCCUCUCUCCAAGGACAAUAUAUUAAAUGAAUUUUUGGAGCAGGGAGUUGGAAUAGGAGCUUACUCUGUCAACUCCAAACAUCAACCUGGUAUUGUAGUACCUCCAGGGAACAAUGCAUCCCUC